rnacentral:rRNA from 1 species
GAUGAACGCUGGCGGCGUGCCUAAUACAUGCAAGUCGAGCGAACAGAUAAGGAGCUUGCUCCUUUGACGUUAGCGGCGGACGGGUGAGUAACACGUGGGUAACCUACCUAUAAGACUGGGAUAACUUCGGGAAACCGGAGCUAAUACCGGAUAAUAUUUCGAACCGCAUGGUUCGAUAGUGAAAGAUGGUUUUGCUAUCACUUAUAGAUGGACCCGCGCCGUAUUAGCUAGUUGGUAAGGUAACGGCUUACCAAGGCGACGAUACGUAGCCGACCUGAGAGGGUGAUCGGCCACACUGGAACUGAGACACGGUCCAGACUCCUACGGGAGGCAGCAGUAGGGAAUCUUCCGCAAUGGGCGAAAGCCUGGCGGAGCAACGCCGCGUGAGUGAUGAAGGUCUUCGGAUUGUAAAACUCUGUUAUUAGGGAAGAACAUACGUGUAAGUAACUGUGCACGUCUUGACGGUACCUAAUCAGAAAGCCACGGCUAACUACGUGCCAGCAGCCGCGGUAAUACGUAGGUGGCAAGCGUUAUCCGGAAUUAUUGGGCGUAAAGCGCGCGUAGGCGGUUUUUUAAGUCUGAUGUGAAAGCCCACGGCUCAACCGUGGAGGGUCAUUGGAAACUGGAAAACUUGAGUGCAGAAGAGGAAAGUGGAAUUCCAUGUGUAGCGGUGAAAUGCGCAGAGAUAUGGAGGAACACCAGUGGCGAAGGCGACUUUCUGGUCUGUAACUGACGCUGAUGUGCGAAAGCGUGGGGAUCAAACAGGAUUAGAUACCCUGGUAGUCCACGCCGUAAACGAUGAGUGCUAAGUGUUAGGGGGUUUCCGCCCCUUAGUGCUGCAGCUAACGCAUUAAGCACUCCGCCUGGGGAGUACGACCGCAAGGUUGAAACUCAAAGGAAUUGACGGGGACCCGCACAAGCGGUGGAGCAUGUGGUUUAAUUCGAAGCAACGCGAAGAACCUUACCAAAUCUUGACAUCCUUUGACAACUCUAGAGAUAGAGCUUUCCCCUUCGGGGGACAAAGUGACAGGUGGUGCAUGGUUGUCGUCAGCUCGUGUCGUGAGAUGUUGGGUUAAGUCCCGCAACGAGCGCAACCCUUAAGCUUAGUUGCCAUCAUUAAGUUGGGCACUCUAGGUUGACUGCCGGUGACAAACCGGAGGAAGGUGGGGAUGACGUCAAAUCAUCAUGCCCCUUAUGAUUUGGGCUACACACGUGCUACAAUGGACAAUACAAAGGGCAGCGAAACCGCGAGGUCAAGCAAAUCCCAUAAAGUUGUUCUCAGUUCGGAUUGUAGUCUGCAACUCGACUACAUGAAGCUGGAAUCGCUAGUAAUCGUAGAUCAGCAUGCUACGGGAAAACGUUCCCGGGUCU